AUUAUUUUUUCUAAAAAAAAAAAUCUGUUCUUAUCAGUUUAAUAUCUGAUACGUCCCCCAUCGGGGGACUACAUAUUAAAUGGAUUUUUCGAACAGGGAGUCGGN
rnacentral:snRNA from 8 species